rnacentral:rRNA from 1 species
GACGAACGCUGGCGGCGUGCUUAACACAUGCAAGUCGAACGGUAAGGCCCUUCGGGGUACACGAGUGGCGAACGGGUGAGUAACACGUGGGUGAUCUGCCCUGCACUUCGGGAUAAGCCUGGGAAACUGGGUCUAAUACCGGAUAGGACCACUGCCUGCAUGGGUGGUGGUGGAAAGCUUUUGCGAUGUGGGAUGGGCCCGCGGCCUAUCAGCUUGUUGGUGGGGUGAUGGCCUACCAAGGCGACGACGGGUAGCCGGCCUGAGAGGGUGACCGGCCACACUGGGACUGAGAUACGGCCCAGACUCCUACGGGGGGCAGCAGUGGGGAAUAUUGCACGAUGGGCGCAAGCCUGAUGCAGCGACGCCGCGUGAGGGAUGACGGCCUUCGGGUUGUAAACCUCUUUCAGCACCGACGAAGCGCAAGUGACGGUAGGUGCAGAAGAAGGACCGGCCAACUACGUGCCAGCCGCCGCCGUAA